GAUUAGGGAGUAGCUAAUUCUAAUUCUCUGUGGGAGAGAAGCUCUAAACCCUAACUUUGAUGGCUAGCUCUGCAUAAUGAUUUCUUCUCUUCUCCUCUCUCCUCCAGGGGGGGAGGCCUUGGUUAUAUAGUCUUUUCAAGUGAAUGUGGGCCGUCAGAUCAAACCGACAUUGAAUGUGUGGUUUAGAUUGAUCCUUUAGGUCGGUGGAGCGUAGUCCCGAAGUAGACUCCCGAUUGGACUCCUACCCUGGGCGGGCGCCCAAAGGGGGUGGGCGGCCGCCCUGCCCCCGAGCCCGAUCGUGCUCUCGUUCAUUCCCGUGGCUUCUGGACUCCUCUAGAUUGAGGAAAAUUGCGCGGCACGUAAUUAUCUCGUUGUAAACAUGACAUGUGGGCCUUCUCUCCAUAUUCUCUGAUAACUCCCUGCAGAAAUAGAUAAACACCAAAGCUCGUGGAAUUCUGUCAGAUAAAACCCUAAUUCUAGAUGUUUGUUUCAUAUUGAUCCUUUUUCAUGUUUAUUUGAUUAUUAAUUUUAGUACUUAAGGACCGUCAACAAACUCCCCCAAGCUUACCCUUUGCUCGUCCCUGAGCAAAUAGCUAAACUUAGACGAAUCAGAAGUUGAUUUGAUGUUUUCUUUCGUGACAGGCACACAUGCUUUUACAUAAAAAUUCUUUCCAGAUUAGAGUGAAGUGUUAUGGAGUUUAGUACCUGCACUUAAAUCUUAAGUAAUCGAAAGACACAAUAAUUAAGUCAAGCACUAUUUCUCCUGUCUAUACUUCACCUUUGUUCCAGAGUUUUUCAUAAGUUUUCAAAAUAAAACUCAGAGUUCCCAGCAAUGAUUCUCUCAAGUCUCUUUGUAUGUGGUAUUUGUGGAUCCUUAUCAAAAUUUCACCUACCUAUAGCUAAUGAAAUAUUUAAGUGGAGCUCAUAGGAGUGGAAAAUAGCUCAUACAUAUGUUGUCUAAUCGAGCUAUGGAUCCAAAGGAACUCAGCAUAUAAUUAAAUCAAGAUGUGCAUGUGUGAUGGAGUAAAUGAUAGUGAUGGUGAAAAUGUAUAAGUGAUAAUAAAACUUACUUCUCAUUGCUCCUCAUAUUGCUAUCUCUCCUCCUCUUUGAUCUUUGCUUUGGGAGAACAUGGGCUAUCUUUUUCUUUCUUUUCUUUUUUUUGUCAGGUGGGUAGUAGACACCCCUAAUUCUACUGUCGCACACUUGUCUAUUUUUUCCGCUCAAGUGGGCAUCUUUGUACCCCUAAUUCUACUUCGGACACUUGUCCAUUUUUACCUCUCGUCUCACUCUUUUUCUUUUAUCGAGGUUCCGGGCACUUGCCCCUUUUUAUUUCCUCACAUAUUUUUGCAUAAGUCAUGCCUCUUCUGCAUUGAAUCUUUUUAGAGAGAGAGAAUAACAAUAUUCGGGACAGUGAGUGAUAAUAUUUUUAGCAAUUUUAAUGAUUGGUGAUGGAUGGUGUAGUGGAUGUGUGCAAGUGAAUAUCUUAAUUUAACCACAUGAAAAGCUCCUAAGGGUCUACACAGCUCGAUCAAACUCAAUGUAAAUAUAGUAAAAGGUGUUAUAGCAAGUAUGGCUGUGGUAGGUAGUUUGUUAUGCUAGGAACCCAUCAUGUGAUUUGUAAAUUUUCAAAAUAAAUCUCCAGAACUUAGUGUAGUAGGAACAAGAUAAACAACAACUCAGACUUUAUAUCAUGCCUUUCUCUUACCUAGACUUUAGUUUUAUGCUUCCCAAAGAUAGUAAUUUUAGUUUUAGUAAUUCCUCGAAGAACUCUAAAUAAAAGCUAGGUACUUAAAAGUAAGCAAACAGAGCAACUGUUCAUUAUUUCCAUUAUGCAUCUUUUUGGUCUUUUUGUUUUUUCUAGAGAUUAACACUUAACAGAUAAAAUUAAAGCACACUUAUCUACACACUCUUUUUAUUUUGUUUUCAUGUUUAUAAAGUGCAGUAAAUUAAAGCAAGAAAAUAUUUAUUUGGUUUUCUAAGUUUUUUCUCUAUAAGAUAAAAUACUAAAAUAGAAAAGAAUAAAUAAGAAGAGCAAAUAAAAACUUACUUGAUAAAUUGGGGAGGAACUCCCCCAAGCUGGAUGUUGACGUCGGUCUUACCCGAUGUUCCAGAAUCGCAUCAUAGUUGUGAUGUUGUCGUUCAUUGUUGUUGUAUCUUGUCUCAGCUCUUCUACUGCAGUAGCAUGGUCCUGGUUCCAUUUUUGUUGCUCUUCCAGGAGUCUUCCAUGUUCUGCUUGCGUGUUCUAGAUGUCGAGGAGGGUGUUGUCGGUACGAGUGAAGAAAGCACCGGCCUCUUGAUAGUAGUCAUUCGUGAAAGCGUAGGAGGCGUCGGAGUAUCGUCCUGCAUCAAAUUGGGGCGGAGGUCUGGAUCCUGAAGCUCCAUAUGGAUCAGUGGAGUACCUGCCCGUAUGAAAAGGCGGGUUUGUCCACUGGUGAUCUUGGCUCU
rnacentral:lncRNA from 1 species